UACCCUAUUAUUCUUUAUGUUAAUAAAAAGAUCCGAGUAGUAAUAGUUAUGAACUUGAAACUUAAAGAAUUUGGCGGUGUUUUAGUCCGGUCAGAGGAACUUGUCCCGUAAUCGAUAAUCCACGUUUUACUUCACUUUAUUUGAUGGUUAGCUUGUAUACCGCCGUCAUAAGGAUAUUUCUUUAGAAUAUUUUCUGAGAUUUUAAUUUGAGAGAAUGUCAGGUCAAGGUGCAGUUUAUGGUAAAGAGGAGAUGAGUUACAUUAACAAUUAAUUAAACGGAUUUGAUUUUGUAAUGAAUUAAUGAAGGUGGAUUUGGUAGUAAUUGAAAUAAGAAAGAGUUGGUGAAUGGAGGCUCUAAAACAUGUACA
rnacentral:rRNA from 1 species